UACGUAGGGUGCAAGCGUUAAUCGGAAUUACUGGGCGUAAAGCGUGCGCAGGCGGUUCGGAAAGAGAGGUGUGAAAUCCCUCGGCUUAACCGGGGAACUGCGUCUGAUACUGGAUGGCUUGAGUUUGGGAGAGGGACGCGGAAUUCCAGGUGUAGCGGUGAAAUGCGUAGAUAUCUGGAGGAACACCGGUGGCGAAGGCGGCGUCCUGGACCAACACUGACACUGAGGAGCGAAAGCCAGGGGAGCAAACGGG
rnacentral:rRNA from 1 species